rnacentral:rRNA from 1 species
UGGGGAAUAUUGCACAAUGGGGAAAGACCCUGAUGCAGCGACGCCGCGUGAAGGAAGAAGUAUCUCGGUAUGUAAACUUCUAUCAGCAGGGAAGAUAAUGACGGUACCUGACUAAGAAGCCCCGGCUAACUACGUGCCAGCAGCCGCGGUAAUACGUAGGGGGCAAGCGUUAUCCGGAUUUACUGGGUGUAAAGGGAGCGUAGACGGAGAGGCAAGUCUGAUGUGAAAAGGGCGGGGGCUCAACCCCCAGGCAGCUGCAUUUGGGAAAACUGUAUUUUCUUGAGUGCCGGAGGGGGUAAGCGGAAUUCCUAGUGUAGCGGUGAAAUGCGUAGAUAUUAGGAGGAACACCAGUGGCGAAGGCGGCUUACUGGACGGCAACUGACGUUGAGGCUCGAAAGCGUGGGGAGCAAACAGGAUUAGAUACC